rnacentral:lncRNA from 10 species
GCUGCUGCUUCAUGGAUUUCCAGAAUUCUGGUAUUCUUGGCGUUACCAACUGAGAGAAUUUAAAAGUGAAUAUCGAGUUGUAGCACUGGAUUUGAGAGGUUAUGGAGAAACAGAUGCUCCCAUUCAUCGACAGAAUUAUAAAUUGGAUUGUCUAAUUACAGAUAUAAAGGAUAUUUUAGAUUCUUUAGGUAGGUUAGUUUGAAACAAAACAACUCUUUUUAAGGGACAAACAUUCAACAAAUUGUGAAUCAAUGACUUCUUUUCUUGGGAGGAUGCAUAUUCCAUCUACCCAAAUUAUCUGGAUCCUGUCACUAUGGUUUCAGUUAGUCAGCCCAAAAUAUCUGUACAGGAAAUUUAAAAUGAUGCAUCUAGAGCAACUAUUCUGUCUACCAGCCAAGAAUGACUUUUCAGAUUUGUUUUUAAACAUAGACCUAAUGGCCCGGGUGCUGUGGCUUGCGCCUAUAAUCCCAGCACUUUGAGAGGCUGAGGCGGGCAGAUCACCUGAGGUCAGAGUUUAAGACCAGCCUGACCAACAUGUUGAAACCCUGUCUCUACUAAAAAUACAAAAAUUAGCCAGGCGUGAACCCAGGAGAUGGAGGUUGCAGUGAGCUAAGAUCGUGCCGUUGCACUCCAACCUGGGCAACAAGAAUGAGACUCUGUUUAAAAAAAAAAAAAAAAAAAAUAGACCUAAUGUAUGCUGUUUAUUAUUUUGAGAAAUAAUUAUUGAAAAGUUUAUACUUAGAAAGUUUAUUUCUUUAGAACACACACCUAAAUAUUCAUUUUAAAAUGUUAUACAGAUGCACUUGCAUUAUUUCUGUUGUAUCAAUCAGUUAGAACCACAUAAUAUUGUGGAACAAACCACCCCAGAUUCGGUGGCAUAGGGUCAUAACCAUUUUUUCCUGUGCUCAUGGAUCUGCAGGUUAACCGUAGGCUGGACUCCUCUGGUCUUUGCCUCAGGCUGCAGGUCCAGCUGGGACUGGCUUCUCUCUGUGAGUUGGGCUG